CACGUAGGGGGCAAGCGUUGUCCGGAAUUACUGGGCGUAAAGGGCGUGCAGGCGGCCCGUCAAGUCCGAUGUGAAAUCCCACGGCUUAACUGUGGGCGUGCAUUGGAAACUGGCAGGCUUGAGGGUAGGAGAGGAGCGUGGAAUUCUCGGUGUAGCGGUGGAAUGCGUAGAUAUCGAGAGGAACACCAGUGGCGAAGGCGACGCUCUGGCCUAACCCUGACGCUGAGACGCGAAAGCCAGGGGAGCAAACGGG
rnacentral:misc_RNA from 1 species